CUGGUUUUCAUAGUGGUUUCGUA
rnacentral:miRNA from 9 species